UACGGGGGGAGCAAGCGUUGUUCGGAAUCACUGGCAUAAAGCGCACGUAGGCGGUGACGUAAGUCGGGUGUGAAAUCCCUCGGCCUAACCGGAGGAACUGCGCCCGAUACUGCGUUGCUUGAGGACCAGAGGGGUGCAUGGAAUUUCCGGUGGAGCGGUGAAAUGCGUUGAUAUCGGAAGGAACUCCGGCGGCGAAAGCGGCGACGGCUGGACCUCUUCUG
rnacentral:rRNA from 1 species